rnacentral:miRNA from 1 species
UUAUGAGUCCUUCUAACCUCAGUUG